rnacentral:rRNA from 1 species
GAUGAACGCUGACAGAAUGCUUAACACAUGCAAGUCAACUUGAACUUCGGUUUGGGUGGCGGACGGGUGAGUAACGCGUAAAGAACUUGCCUCACAGCUAGGGACAACAUUUGGAAACGAAUGCUAAUACCUGAUAUUAUGAUUUUAGGGCAUCCUAGAAUUAUGAAAGCUAUCUGCGCUGUGAGAGAGCUUUGCGUCCCAUUAGCUAGUUGGAGAGGUAACGGCUCACCAAGGCGAUGAUGGGUAGCCGGCCUGAGAGGGUGAACGGCCACAAGGGGACUGAGACACGGCCCUUACGCCUACGGGAGGCAGCAGUGGGGAAUAUUGGACAAUGGACCAAGAGUCUGAUCCAGCAAUUCUGUGUGCACGAUGAAGUUUUUCGGAAUGUAAAGUGCUUUCAGUUGGGAAGAAAAAAAUGACGGUACCAACAGAAGAAGUGACGGCUAAAUACGUG